rnacentral:rRNA from 1 species
GACAGAGGGUGCGAACGUUGCUCGGAAUUACUGGGCGUAAAGCGCGUGUAGGCGGGUGAUCAAGUCAGGUGUGAAAUCCCCAGGCUCAACCUGGGAACUGCACUUGAAACUGGUCGUCUUGAGUGUUGGAGAGGGAAGCGGAAUUCCUGGUGUAGAGGUGAAAUUCGUAGAUAUCAGGAGGAACACCGGUGGCGAAGGCGGCUUCCUGGACAAUUACUGACGCUGAGACGCGAAAGCGUGGGGAGCAAACAGG